UCGAGGAUCUUUCGCAAUGGGCGAAAGCCUGACGAAGCGACGCUGUGUGAAUGGUGAAGGCCUUCGGGUUGUAAAGUUCUUUCGCUUAGGAACAAGAAAGAUCGGUGAAUAACCGGUCGAUUUGAGGGUACUAGGUAAAGAAGCACCGGCUAACUCCGUGCCAGCAGCUGCGGUAAUACGGAGGGUGCAAGCAUUAAUCGGAAUUAUUGGGCGUAAAGGGCGCGUAGGCGGAUUUGUAAGUCAGAUGUGAAAUUCCGGAGCUCAACUUCGGAGCUGCAUUUGAAACUGUGAAUCUAGAGGGAUGGCGGAGAAAAUGGAAUUCCACGUGUAGCGGUGAAAUGCGUAGAUAUGUGGAAGAACAUCUGUGGCGAAAGCGGUUUUCUAGCUAUUACCUGACGCUGAGGCGCGAGAGCAAGGGGAGCAAACAGG
rnacentral:rRNA from 1 species